rnacentral:tRNA from 1 species
GGGGUUGUGGCUUAGUGAUAGAGGACUCACCUAGCAUGUCUGAGGCCCUGAGUUCGAUUGUCAGCACCACA